rnacentral:lncRNA from 1 species
AAAAAAAUGAAAAUAAGGUCAAGGUCAAAGGUCAAGGUCAUAUUAUAAAUUUUGAUUUUGGCUUAUUUUCACUUAUUUUCAAAAGCCGUAUAACUUAUCGACAAAUUAUUUUUACUAAAUUGUUAGUUGCGACAUGUCGUAACACGUAAAUUUUAGUCGAAAGAGUACGUAGACAUUUGAUGCCAGUUUUGACCCCUUUUAUUUCUAAUAUUUGUUGUAAGGUAAUACAACUCAUUAACAAUAUAUUGUAGAGGCCUAGAGUCUUUUGAUUUGAGGUCCUUGGUUGAUGACCUCGAAAUUGAGCUCAAGGUCAUAGGUAAAUGUAACGUUCUAGAUUUUGACCUUUGCUUUUACCUCAUAUGUAUACAUGAUCAAGACAUGGGACUUUUUAAAUUAGGUUGCAAUCAAUGUGAUCUAGAAAAAGACAAUCAGAAGUGACCUUUUG